GACACUUUGGCCGAGUGGUUAAGGCGAUGCCCUGCUAUCACAGCGUAUCAAGGCAUUGUGUUCGCACGCGCAGGUUCGAAUCCUGCAGGUGUCG